rnacentral:rRNA from 1 species
AAACUUUCAACAACGGAUCUCUUGGUUCUGGCAUCGAUGAAGAACGCAGCGAAAUGCGAUAAGUAAUGUGAAUUGCAGAAUUCAGUGAAUCAUCGAAUCUUUGAACGCACAUUGCGCCCCUUGGUAUUCCGGGGGGCAUGCCUGUUCGAGCGUCACUA